ensembl:lncRNA
GUGGAGCCAUGAGAAACAGAGUCCUUCUGAUCCGAUGGAGCUUUCCCCAUAAUGGAGAUGGAGCCACGGUGCUUGGCUGAAGCGCUGUGGUGUAAGGAGAGCUAAGCUAACUCGAGAGUAAAAAGGAGGAAGAGAGGGAACCCUGUCGGUGUUGUAAAGUAAAAGAGAAAACCCAGCAGAGGGAGUAGGGAAGGCAUCCAGGCUGGUGCCUUUUAAAGCAGCAGUGAAAGAGAGAGGAGAGAGGACAGGGGGACUCUAAGGCACCGGACCACUGUCACCUACCGACCAGCCCCCGCCGAUGAUCCACGGCUACAGCCACUGCACAGUGAAAAGGGGGUUAUGCCAGGAGAGCUUGAAAGGAAGGGACGAUCCAGCUCUCCGUCUGUCCAUCCGUCCGUCCACCCGUCAUCCUCAUUCCUCUUUUAAUUUCAGAGCCGAUAUCUCAGGUCAGACGGUCC